rnacentral:rRNA from 1 species
CCUACGGGGGCUGCAGUGGGGAAUAUUGCGCAAUGGGCGAAAGCCUGACGCAGCGACGCCGCGUGAGGGAUGAAGGUCUUCGGAUCGUAAACCUCUGUCAGCAGGGAAGAACGGUCACUGUGCUAAUCAGCAGUGAAUUGACGGUACCUGCAAAGGAAGCACCGGCUAACUCCGUGCCAGCAGCCGCGGUAAUACGGAGGGUGCGAGCGUUGUCCGGAAUCAUUGGGCGGAAAGAGUUCGUAGGUGGCACGUUAAGUCUGGUGUUAAAGGCGGAAGCUCAACGUCCGUAGGGCACUGGAUACUGGCGAGCUUGAAUGCGGUAGAGGUAAAGGGAAUUCCUGGUGUAGCGGUGAAAUGCGUAGAUAUCAGGAGGAACAUCGGUGGCGUAAGCGCUUUACUGGGCCGUAAUUGACACUGAGGAACGAAAGCCGGGGUAGCAAAUGGGAUUAGAUACCCCUGUAGUC